AUUGAACGCUGGCGGCACGCCUAACACAUGCAAGUCGAGCGGCAGCGAGACUAGUAGCAAUACUAGUUGUCGGCGAGCGGCGGACGGGUGAGUAACACGUAGGAAUCUGCCCUUAAGCGGGGGAUAACCAAGGGAAACUUUGGCUAAUACCGCAUAAUCUCGAGAGAGCAAAGCUGCCCGCAAGGGUGGCACUUGAGGAGGAGCCUGCGUCCGAUUAGCUAGUUGGUGGGGUAAUGGCCUACCAAGGCGAUGAUCGGUAACUGGUCUGAGAGGAUGAUCAGUCACACCGGAACUGAGACACGGUCCGGACUCCUACAGGAGGCAGCAGUGGGGAAUAUUGGACAAUGGGCGCAAGCCUGAUCCAGCAAUGCCGCGUGUGUGAAGAGGGCCUUCGGGUUGUAAAGCACUUUAGCCUGGGAAGAAAAAACUUUGGUUAACACCCAAAGUCUUGACGGUACCAGGAGAAUAAGCACCGGCUAACUCUGUGCCAGCAGCCGCCGUAACAC
rnacentral:rRNA from 1 species